GUGGCGGCACCAUGUCUGGUCCUCGAGCGUAUGGGGCUUUGUCACCCGCUCCCGUAGGUCCAGCUGGCAGCUAGCCUCGCAACCAAUCUUUUUAACCAGGUUGACCUCGGAUCAGGUAGGGAUACCCGCUGAACUUAAGCAUAUCAAUAGCCGGAGGAA
rnacentral:rRNA from 1 species